rnacentral:rRNA from 1 species
AGGGUUUGAUUCUGGCUCAGAUUGAACGCUGGCGGCAGGCCUAAGACAUGCAAGUCGAGCGAGAAAGUACUUCGGUACGAGUACAGCGGCGGACGGGUGAGUAACGCGUAGGAAUCUACCUAGUAGUGGGGGACAACUCGUGGAAACGCGAGCUAAUACCGCAUACGCCCUACGGGGGAAAGCGGGGGAUCUUCGGACCUCGUGCUAUUAGAUGAGCCUGCGUAAGAUUAGCUAGUUGGUGGGGUAAAGGCCUACCAAGGCGACGAUCUUUAGCUGGUCUGAGAGGAUGAUCAGCCACACCGGGACUGAGACACGGCCCGGACUCCUACGGGAGGCAGCAGUCAGGAAUAUUGCGCAAUGGGCGAAAGCCUGACGCAGCCAUGCCGCGUGUGUGAAGAAGGCCCUAGGGUUGUAAAGCACUUUCAAUUGGGAGGAAAAGCUAAUGGUUAAUAGCCAUUAGCCCUGACGUUACCUUUAGAAGAAGCACCGGCUAACUCCGUGCCAGCC